CUUGCCCUGUUGUAUUCGAUUACAUAGGAAGUUAAAAAUUGAGCCGACACUCACCCUUUUGGGAAUCUCAAAUAGGCAAGUUGUCUUUGAUAGUUUGCCUGAAGAUACCCACUUAGUCUAAGGGGUCAAUUUACUUCUUAUGCCGGUACAGUGGGGUAUUU
rnacentral:other from 1 species